rnacentral:rRNA from 1 species
CACGUAGGGCGCAAGCGUUGUCCGGAAUUAUUGGGCGUAAAGAGCUCGUAGGCGGUCUGUUGCGUCCGCUGUGAAAACUCGGGGCUUAACCCCGAGCCUGCAGUGGAUACGGGCAGACUAGAGGUAGGUAGGGGAGAAUGGAAUUCCCGGUGUAGCGGUGAAAUGCGCAGAUAUCGGGAAGAACACCCAUGGCGAAGGCAGCUCUCUGGGACGGUACUGACGCUGAGACGCGAAAGCGUGGGGAGCGAACAGG